rnacentral:rRNA from 1 species
ACCAGACUCCUACGGGAGGCAGCAGUGGGGAAUAUUGCACAAUGGGCGAAAGCCUGAUGCAGCGACGCCGCGUGAAGGAUGAAGUAUUUCGGUAUGUAAACUUCUCUCAGCAGGGAAGAAAAUGACGGUACCUGACUAAGAAGCCCCGGCUAACUACGUGCCAGCAGCCGCGGUAAUACGUAGGGGGCAAGCGUUAUCCGGAUUUACUGGGUGUAAAGGGAGCGUAGACGGCGAUGCAAGCCAGAUGUGAAAGCGCGGGGCUCAACCCCGGGACUGCAUUUGGAGCUGUGUGGCUGGAGUGGCGGAGAGGCAAGUGGAAUUCCUAGUGUAGCGGUGAAAUGCGUAGAUAUUAGGAGGAACACCAGUGGCGAAGGCGGCUUGCUGGACGAUGACUGACGUUGAGGCUCGAAAGCGUGUGGAGCCAACAGGAUUAGAUACCCCAGUA